AGUUAAUGGAAGCAGAUGUGUUGUAUAUUUGUUAGCUGUGUUACAGACUAAUUUCAACAAACUGGUGACAACAUGAGCUUUGACCAAGUUUAUGCAGUUAAAGGUCCAUCAGUUGCUCUUUUGGAAACUUUGGUUCGUGAAGAGAGGAGGCUGUCAACGAAAAUGAUAUGUUUUUGUCAACGGGAUACUUUGCCUGUGUGUAGACUUCCAUGGAACGCUGGACACAGAGAUAAGAAUUAGCUGAAUAUCUCCGAUGACAGACAAGGUAGGAAGAAAUAAAUCUUGACCUACACUUGGCUGACGUCUACAUUCGUUAGCCGGGCACGAACGUUACGGGUUCGAAUCCCGCUGACGACGCGCAUUUCCACAACUAGACUACAAAAUUGAAAAAAAAGAAGUUUCUUUGCAGGCAUAUGUUACAAAACACUUCAUAAAGUUCUGACAAGGUGGUUGAUAUAUGAGAGUGUCAGAACCAACAAGACGUCAAGACAGCUGACAAGAAAAUACUUUAAACACCUGCCAAUGAUCGUGCUCGCCUCGACCGGACUACUCCGGAAACACCCGACUCACUCAGUCACGGUCUUCGUCUCAAGUUGAAAUACAUACCUUGGCACGCGAUAGACACUCAGCGUCAAGAGCCUUGUAUAUGAUCAAAUUCCCAGUGAUGUUUUGAGGAGGCGUUCACAGGACACAUGAGCCUGGCCAGGUGUUCCCUUACAUAUCUCCUCAUGUGCGUUCCAGACAACGAAGUUAAUUCAUCGAUAAAGGGAAUUAUGGAUUACAAGUGGAUUGUGACCCUCUGAUACUCGGGGCACAGGUGGGCCAGUGGUCUAUGGCGCCAGAGAAGUGGGUACCUAAGGCGUGCAAUCCGAGAUGAAACUAGUAGUCGCCCUGAGUAUGAUUCUUGAUUCUUAUCCAAUAUAACGGACUCUUGCUCACAGUUUACCUGACAGGUAAACGUGUAACACCUGCAAAUCUUUGGGCUUCAUGUGUACAAGAUUUGAUAUAACUGUUCUGUUCAAA